rnacentral:rRNA from 1 species
AGCGAACGCUGGCGGCAGGCCUAACACAUGCAAGUCGAACGGAUCCUUCGGGAUUAGUGGCGGACGGGUGAGUAACACGUGGGAACGUGCCCUUUGGUUCGGAACAACUCAGGGAAACUUGAGCUAAUACCGGAUGUGCCCUUCGGGGGAAAGAUUUAUCGCCAUUGGAGCGGCCCGCGUCUGAUUAGCUAGUUGGUGAGGUAAAGGCUCACCAAGGCGACGAUCAGUAGCUGGUCUGAGAGGAUGAUCAGCCACAUUGGGACUGAGACACGGCCCAAACUCCUACGGGAGGCAGCAGUGGGGAAUCUUGCGCAAUGGGCGAAAGCCUGACGCAGCCAUGCCACGUGAAUGAUGAAGGUCUUAGGAUUGUAAAAUUCUUUCACCGGGGACGAUAAUGACGGUACCCGGAGAAGAAGCCCCGGCUAACUUCGUGCCAGCCGCCGCCGUAAGAC